GCUGUUUAUCCCUCAACACAAACAGCUCCACUUUUAAAGGAACAGCCACUCCUGGCAGCAUUAGCUUCCUGCAGAGAAAAUGAAGCUGCAGGCUUUCUAUGGUGAGAAUGGCUUUAUGGGCCCUCAGAAGGGUUAAGUGCCACUAAACUGAACAUUUCCUUCUAGGAACGCACAGCGGUGAUCUGGGGCCACGAUUUUGAUAUGUGGUGGUGAAGCUUUGCAUAGGGCAAAGGGGAGGGGAGGGGGGCCCUCGUGACAAGACUGGCAACUUUGGGGACACUCCAGCGAGGAAGACUUUUUGUGGCCACAUAGAUGGGACACAUCUAUCUCCUAGAUGGUCUGGGUGCCUUUGAGUGUGAGAGUCCCACCGUCCUCCAUCAACACAUGUCCCCAUGCUGGAUGAGAGCCACACACAGAGGACACUUCCUAGGGCAUCGAUCUGGCAGACACUCCUGUUCUGGGUAACGUGAUCUGUCAUCUGCGCUGACAGGUGGGCUUCCUUUCCCUGGGACCCCACCGCCAAGGACCUGGCAGGGUUGGAAAACAGGGUCUCCAGAGUCGGAGUGUUUUUCUGUUUAAGUACCUAAAUUAAAUCUUAGGUGAGAUGCUGCUGUAUUUUAGAGCCAAGAAGGAGUUUAAAGACAGAGUGGCUGGGCUGGCCAGCAUCCUUUCUGAGGCACUGAGAAAAAGGAGGUUACCCAUCUCUCUGGCUUCUGUGGGACAGAGACCCAGGGCUGAUGCGAUUCACCCAGGCUCUGUCUGUGUAAUUUCAGUGCUGUGAUGCUGUCUCCUAGGAAGUCAGAAGGAUGGACAAAAAUAAGCCUGGUGCAAAUACUAUGUAACAAGGUUACACAGAGCCUGGGUUAAUCAAAGCAGCCGUGGGUCUCUGCCACCUUGAAGUUCUGGGAGGUAAGUCAGCUGCUUCUGUGAAGUCCUGCCCCUCACCCGAAAAAGCUAAGGCAUCUCUAAACUAUGUACUAAGUUUUGCUUGGGGACAAGUAUCUUUAAAGUUAAAAGAGUCCCAGAUUUUUUCACAAAGAUCAUCACACCUUCUCCUUAAAACACCUAAAUGUCUCUCAGAAUCCAUCCAUUAACCAGCUCCCCUACCACCACCAGAGUGCAGGUGAGUGCCAUUCCUGGUGUGGCCCACGGUGGCAGCAGCAUGAGCGUGUUGGGAAGGCAGCAUGCCUGGCCCCACUGUAUACCUGCUGCUUCACUGCAGCGGGCAGGGCACAGCCUAGGCUCAGGGACCCGGUGUUAGACCUUCUAGGAGAUUCUUCAGAAUCAUGACCACCCUCUUUUUGUUCUCCUCACAUCCUCUCCAGCUUCUGUCUCUUGUGCAUGUUAUAGCCAGAAUGAAUGGUCUUUUCAAAACACAUGCCUGCAUCGUGUGACGCCCUCCUGCCUUAAAACUGCUUAAACAGUUGGGCUCACCCUAAUUGCACUGAGACCCUGCGUGGCAUGGACCCUCUAACCACCUAUCUCUCAGUCCAUGCCCUUCUUCCCUGGGCACACCUGCCCCAACACCCCUCUCCGGGCCCUCACACCUUCUAAGCUCCCUCUUGCCCCAGGGCCUUUGUGUGGCUCAGCCCUGUCUGGAAUGCUCCCAGCACCACCACCACCACCCCCGCCCCGCCCUGGUCCUCCCCAGAAUUGGUAUCCGUCCUCCAGACUUCAGCCAAUGCUGACUCCCCAAUCCGGAAGGCCAGGUCAGGUAAGGUAGCUAAUGUUCAGAGCAUUCAUUUCUGUUUGUCAUAUGCCUUCACUGAUGGGCAUUUUUGCUGAAUGCAUGUCUUACCCUCCAGCCAGCUACUUCCUGAGGGCAGGGACUUUCAGCAUCACCACUGUACCGCCAGCCCAGCUCAGUGGCUGGCCUUGAGUAAUGACUCAUUAAUACAUUUGUUCACAGCCUGAGCUAUGAGUGUCCUUCAAGGUCAAAUGCUCUCUCUCACCCAUUGGAGCGACACGGCUUUGUUGCCUUUCAGUGGCAUCCUGAUAACAGCACCAAGCACUUACAAAAUAGAAGCAGCAGGGCAGGCACUGCUCCAAGCCUUUUGCAUAGUUAUUGACCUAGGACCUCAAUUUCCUCCUAAUGGCAGGUUGUGUGACCACCUGUCAGGCAGGUCCCAGAACCACGCCAUCCAUACUAUUGGUACCUAGUGCUUCCUAACCCAGGCAGUCUGGCCCCUAAGCCACUGUUCCAUGGCACUGAGGAGCUGAAGGGGAAAAAUUGGGCAGGGCAGUUCCCAGGGCCUGCACCCAGGGACCCAGCAACGCCCUCUGCACUCUCAGGGCCUCCUUCUGGUCUCUGAAACCUGUUAGACGAGCCAGUAUUCUUCCUGUUUAAUCUAAAAGGAUAGAGUCAGCGUUCUCAUCGUGGCUCAGCAGAAAUGAAAUCCAUGUAGUAUCCAUGAGAAUGCAGGUUCUUUCCCUGGCCUCGCUCAGUGGGUUAAGGAGGCAGCAUGAGCUGUGGCGUAGGUCUUAGACUCGGCUUGGAUCCAGCGUUGCUGUGGCUGAGACGUCAGCCGGCAACUACAGCUCCAAUUAGACCUCGAGCCGGGGAACCUCCAUAUGCCGCAGGUACGGCACUAAAAAGAAAAAAAAAUAAUUUAAAAAAGGAUGGAGUCUAAUCUUGUUUAAAGCAGUCCAUCAUGGAACCUGAUUAAAAACUUAAUGAAAGAUAAAAUAGGGUCAAGUCCAGAGAGAGAAAACUGAGAACCAGAUGCCACCCUCCUUAAUUUUGGUGUUAAGCUGGUGAAUUCAUUCGAGGUUUGCACAGUUACCUUCAGAGGUCAAUGCUUCUGGGAAGAGCUGGGUUUGGAAAGGAGUUAAUAUUUAACAUCAAAGACAGCAACAGUUCUCCAAGUGGGGUCCCUGGACCAGCUGCACCUGGGAACUUGCUAGACACCACCAUCCUCCAGGUGAAUCCGAAUCCCAGGGGGGCGGUCCUGCAGUCUGUGUUUUAACAAGCCCUGCAGGGGAUUCUGAAGUGCCUCAAGUUUGAGAACCACUAAAAUAGAGUAAAAGGGAAAAAGCCCACCUUCAUUACCAAAUGUUAAAAGGUCAAGGUCGUGGAGUGCCCUUGCAGGCUAUUUCAAGCAGUUUGGCAAGUUUGGGGCAUUUAAUGUUAGGUCGAAUAAUAAUUUUUUUUAUCUACUCUUCUGAAUUCUUAAAAUCUGUAGUGUUCUAGGCUGUGGAAACCUGACCCCACUCCCCGGAAAAAAAACAAAAAAACAAAAACAAAAACCCUAGAAUGUCCUUUUAUCACUUCACCGCAGGGACCCUGGAAGGUAAAAAUUAUUUUCCACCAGUUUAAAGGCUUAGAUUCUUAUUCCUGAUUGAUUUAAUUACCAGCAUAGUACCAGGCACAUUUUCGGGGCUUUUUCUUUCUUUAAUCAGAGUUGACAACCCCAUUUUGAGAAUAGGAACUGGAGCCCAAGAGAAGUUAAGGAACCUGACCUCAGGAGGGACAGGCAUCUGCAUGCAGGUGUCCCCAGUUCCACACUCGGACCUGCCUUUGAUUGGCUACCUCUGUAAUGAACACCUGGGGACCAGGAAGGUCAGCCAUGCCAGCUCACCCUGUGUCUGUGAGCAAUUAAAAGCCAAUUAGGAUUGGCUCGAAAACAAUGCCAUAGUGACUAAAUACUGGACAGUCAUCUCACUUGAAUGUUUUUGUCAUUUUUACCUUGAGCUACAUUUCUUUUUUGAGGGAGGGUAGAUUUUCUUGUUUCACUUAUAGUCAUCACUAAAUGUUUACCUUAGGCCCUAUGGGUGGUCUUAUAUGCUUUCCUUGUGCAAGCCACAGCCAAGGUCAUUUUCAGCCCUCUACACCUGCUUCUUGGUGGAGACCCCAGGAAUGUGGCUUCUCUUAAAAAAAAAAAGUUGCUUGCGGGUUUCUGCCCCUUGUGCUGCUACAAAGCAAGAGUUCCCAUGUGUUAUAUCUUACCUGAGAAAGUGGUGCACAUACACUGCUGAAAUGUUAGGAAGAGUUCAUUGGCUUCACAGAGCUGGAAGGUGUUCAACCUAAUGUUGAUUGUUGACGGAUUUUUUUUUUUUUUUUUUUUUUUUUUGCUUUUUAGGGUUGCAUGCAGGGCAUAUGGAAGUUCUCAAGCUUGGGGUAGAAUUGGAGCUGCAGCUGCUGUCCUAUGCCACAACAACAUGGGAUCUGUGCCACAGCUCAUGGUAACACCAGAUCCUUAACCCACUGAUUGAGGCCAAGCAGGGAUCAAACCUAUGUCCUCAUGGAUACUAGUAGGUGGUGGUUCAUUACCACUGAGCCACAGUGGGAACUCCCUGAUUGUUGAUGGAUUUUUAGAGAGAGGAGGGGUGAUAAAAAUCCAUUCCACCAUUCCCUCUGUUCCAAAAAAAAAAAAAAACCUCAACCUCACACAGACCAAAGAGCAAGUUUGAAAUUGCUAUUUUAAAAGGCAUGGGGGGGAUGCACGUGUUAGUUUUCAAAAAUGUAAAACAUCAAAUUAUUUUUUUCAAAGUUGUCAUUGGAAGUAAUGUAUAUAACGCAUUGUUGAAGAAAAUAAAGCAAAU
rnacentral:lncRNA from 1 species